ACAAACUUGGUCAUUUAGAGGAAGUAAAAGUCGUAACAAGGUUUCCGUAGGUGAACCUGCGGAAGGAUCAUUAACGAUUUGAAUACCAUAUGGAUUCAAUUCAAUCCAUAUCCACUCACCUUGUGUGCACCUAUUGAAAGUGUGCUUUGGGAUGGUUUUUUGGUCAGGUGUGUCUAGCACUCCCAGAGACUUUUUUGUAUAACUAUUACGUGUUAAAAUGAACAUGUCUGAAACAUAAAAUCUUUUUGUAUAAUUAAAACAACUUUCAACAACGGAUCUCUUGGCUCUUGCAUCGAUGAAGAACGCAGC
rnacentral:misc_RNA from 1 species